rnacentral:rRNA from 1 species
AACUAACGCUGGCGGCGUGCCUAACACAUGCAAGUCGUACGAGAAAGUUGGCUUCGGCUGAUGAGUAAAGUGGCGCACGGGUGAGUAACGCGUGGAUAAUCUGCCUUUUAGUUGGGAAUAACGUACCGAAAGGUGCGCUAAUACCGGAUAAUACUAAGCAACUACUGUUGCUUAGUCAAAGAAGGCCAAUGUUUACAAGCUUUUGCUGAAAGAUGAGUCCGCGUACCAUUAGCUAGUUGGUAGGGUAAUGGCCUACCAAGGCAAUGACGGGUAGGGGGCCUGAGAGGGUGGCCCCCCACAAUGGCACUGAAACACGGGCCAGACACCUACGGGUGGCU